AUGUUAGUGACACGCAUGAGGAUCUUGAUGAGGACAACUACUAUGAUUGCGAUGAGGAUGCAUUCGUAGACUCUGGUGCUUAUUCGAAAGCAUAGGGUGGCUGGGAUAGCUCUCCUGAACUUCCUUGCAGCAGUGCACGCCGUUUUAGCAUUGAACCGGUACUUGGCAUACCGUACAUCCUGUUCCCCUUCUAUUUCUUGUACUGCGAGUUGCAUGUUUAUCUUUCACCUUUACUUUGCAAGUUGCUGA
rnacentral:lncRNA from 1 species